UAUAUGUAAGUGUUUUGAGCACGUUAAGUUUUGAUCUUUUUAGGACUAGUUUAAAUCUAGUAUAUGUAA
rnacentral:tRNA from 1 species